UAUGUUAAUUUCCCUAUUAGUCGAAAAAAAUACAAUUCUAUAAUUUUUCGGAAGAACGAUGGGGCAUUGUAACCGUCGGUUACGAUGAGCAAUUGAUGGCUCCGCCACAAUAAAUAUCAAUCCUUGAGCGGUUCAAUAUUUUGCCCUCCCAGCAUGCAAAUCCAACUCUGCCUUUUCCUGCUACGAGCUCCACUGCCACCCAAAUGGUACCCACAUCAUUUCACAGUACUUAUUUACAGCGGUACCUGUCUCAUUUGGCUGCCGCUACACGCCACGGGUAGAGUAGCCAGUAAAAGGGUUAGCAAACGGAUAUAGCCGAGCUGUCAAACUUCGGAGGUGUUCGGUUCAUCUCCGGUGCCGACUUACGAAUACGUCACCGUUUUAGGCUCAGCUCCAGGCCCUGAUCCUUCUUUCUGCUCUGACAAUCAAAGGAAUAAGAAGUGCGCGCGGUGUUCUUAAUUUUCCAAAGUAAUUUUUGUUAAGUGUUAAAAGUGAUGCAGGUUAAUUGAUUUAAUGCUUUUUUAUAGUUACAGUUAGUAAAAGUCCAAACACAAAAGGACUGAUUAAUGGACUAGAGUAAUAGAGUUUAAAAGUGGUACGCAAAGUAAAAUAACGGUGAGAAGACGGUUCACAGACAAAUUAAAAUACCGGAAAAAAAAGGUCCCCAGAGGACCUUUUAUUCUUGGAUCCAGAUUGUCAUCUGGAACCUAUUCCUUCGCAGAACGGGACCAAGAACAGGAACGGAAACUACCGCCAACAUACGGCUCUCUGUCCGUCGCCACGUGCCGAGACCCCCCGGAAACAAUCCCGGCAGCCACCACGCCAUUCUUCUGCCUGCCGGCAACCCUGAAAACCGGCAACCACAAGCCGCAGGUCGAAUCGACUCCCGAGAGCAGAAAAUACCACUGUCCGGGCGAAGGACGCACGCCAUACACGCUCCGACGGCUAACCGUUGGACCAGAGUCCCAGUUAUAACCGACGCACCGCCACUGCCGCCAUACACAGCCAUUGUCACCGUAAACCACCAACAUGUCACCCAGUCGACGAUCCGGCCAUCUUCCGUCUACACCCGUAAAACCAAACCGCAAGUAGCAAGUGACGUCACUUAGAAUUAGGUUAUUUAUAAGUAAUAAAUAGAGUUAAGAUGUUUAAUGAUGAAGAUUAGUGAUAUUGUAACUUAACUGAGCCUUGGUUUAGUGAACUUGCAUCACGUUUCGAUUUUGCUCGAAUUUCGGACUCAAAAGGAGUCGCCAGCCCUCGUCGUUGGUUGUCGUCCAGUAAGUCUUAUCAGGUCGUAGCUUUUGAGCAUCCCCUACGUAAGUACACCCGUUUGCUGGUCCUCGUCUGGUUGCAUUGUCUGUGAUAUUACCGAAGGCAAAUGGGUCACCCUCUAAAUGAGUGCAUAUGAUGGUGGGUGACAUUUAUAUUCACCACCGACAAGCAUAAUUUCUCCUACCCUGAGCAGCUCGAGGUAACAAGAGGUGACUCCACUAUCUGGACUAGAUAUCGACCCAUCAACUCAUGACCGGCGACCAACGGCUUUAUUUCCCUUCCGAAGGAAAGCGUCACCACAGAUUUUUUUCACAUCAGAAAAAUCUCAACGACCUUGGCCGGGAUUGAACCCAGACCAACUGGGGCGAGGAAAAAUGGUUUCUUCGCAAAGGGACCGUACACAAAUGAUGCAGCUAUUUUCGACCCCUCCCUCCCCCUUCGUAGCACUUGGUCACAAAAUAGAAACCUCCCCCUUGUAUAUAACGUAGCUUUUACCAACGCCCCACCACCCCACAGCCGGCAUGGUGAUGAACAAAGUUAAAUCUUGAGCGUUUUUUCCUGUUACCUGUUACAUGUGUAUAAUUUAGGUCAAAAAAGUUACAUGUUUUAAUGCUAACAGGUGGAGAAUCUCAAAAUCACAAAUCCAGUGCAUUGCAUUGUUUAGUUUGCUUAAGGCAGCUUUAAAGGAAGAAAUGGUUGGUUUCAUUUUAAUCGAGAGCGGGAGGGCAUCCUACAGAGAUGCGUUGUAUAUCAGCACGCUCUUCCGCAUAACGCUGGUGUGUGGUGGAUUAGUUAAAAAACUGGAGCCAUCAUUUGUCCUCACUGUAGAUUCUGGAGAAGGUAGUCCGGAAGUUCCUGCUGAUAUGCACCACGGAUGAAGCAGCAAAAGCGUCAACAAAUAUUCCAACUGUUUCUGGUUCGUAAAUUUCGACCUGGAAUGUAAUAGAAAAAUAUAACUUUAUAUUUAGAAAACGAAAAUAAUUUGCCAACCUUUUCGCCUCCAUUAUGCCAUCUGCUAUCCCGACCGAUAAAGUAACAACUUCCUUUAUUAUUCCUAGGCCUGAAAAACAUUUUUACUACCAGGUUCUACACUAAUAAAAUUAAAAAUUGCAAAACAACUUCGACAAACAAAUUUAAAUUUUUCUUCACCCCGGCACUUGUGUCACUUGACUCAUAGGUAGCGACUCGAAAAGUCACGGCGCAUCGACUCUUGUCACUCAGUUGCGACUGCAAGA